GGAGUUAUACUUUAUAAAGAAGAUUAUUUUUGCAGAAUAAAAGAGAUUGUUAUCUAGCUCUA
rnacentral:tRNA from 1 species